rnacentral:rRNA from 1 species
AGCAACGCGAAGAACCUUACCAGGUCUUGACAUCCUCUGACAACCCUAGAGAUAGGGCUUCCCCUUCGGGGGCAGAGUGACAGGUGGUGCAUGGUUGUCGUCAGCUCGUGUCGUGAGAUGUUGGGUUAAGUCCCGCAACGAGCGCAACCCUUGAUCUUAGUUGCCAGCAUUCAGUUGGGCACUCUAAGGUGACUGCCGGUGACAAACCGGAGGAAGGUGGGGAUGACGUCAAAUCAUCAUGCCCCUUAUGACCUGGGCUACACACGUACUACAAUGGCCGGUACAACGGGAAGCGAAGCCGCGAGGUGGAGCCAAUCCCAUCAAAGCCGGUCUCAGUUCGGAUUGCAGGCUGCAACUCGCCUGCAUGAAGUCGGAAUUGCUAGUAAUCGCGGAUCAGCAUGCCGCGGUGAAUACGUUCCCGGGCCUUGUACACACCGCCCGUCACACCACGAGAGUUUACAACACCCGAAGUCGGUGGGGUAACCCGCAAGGGAGCCAGCCGCCGAAGGUGGGACAGAUGAUUGGGGUGAAGUCGUAACAAGGUAGCCGUAUCGCAAGGUGCGGCUGGAUCACCUCCUUU